rnacentral:rRNA from 1 species
UCUCCUGGAAACGGGUGGUAAUGCCGGAUGUUCCACAUGAGCGCAUGCGAGUGUGGGAAAGGCUUUUUGCGGCAUGGGAUGGGGUCGCGUCCUAUCAGCUUGUUGGUGGGGUAACGGCCUACCAAGGCGUUGACGGGUAGCCGGCCUGAGAGGGCGACCGGCCACAUUGGGACUGAGAUACGGCCCAGACUCCUACGGGAGGCAGCAGUGGGGAAUAUUGCACAAUGGGCGCAAGCCUGAUGCAGCGACGCCGCGUGCGGGAUGGAGGCCUUCGGGUUGUAAACCGCUUUUGUUCAAGGGCAAGGCACGGUUUCGGCCGUGUUGAGUGGAUUGUUCGAAUAAGCACCGGCUAACUACGUGCCAGCAGCCGCGGUAAUACGUAGGGUGCAAGCGUUAUCCGGAUUUAUUGGGCGUAAAGGGCUCGUAGGCGGUUCGUCGCGUCCGGUGUGAAAGUCCAUCGCUUAACGGUGGAUCCGCGCCGGGUACGGGCGGGCUUGAGUGCGGUAGGGGAGACUGGAAUUCCCGGUGUAACGGUGGAAUGUGUAGAUAUCGGGAGACACCA